AUGGCAAUUGACGUGAAGAGAGAAUGACGAGAAAGAAAGAUUAUCCAGUAAGACAGAGUAAGAAAUAAAUAAUGGACAACGGUGAGGUGGCAGAUGUAGAUGACUGAGAAUGGCAACACUAUCCUCUAGGUUCUAAUAAUUUAAUAUUCACUUCUUUCUACAGUAUACUUAAGGAAUGAUGGUGAGAGAGAAAAGAAAUAGAGUUGGUGAGGUGAUGAAUGGAGUGGUGUGGACGAGUGUCUGGAUGAGAAAGAAGAAGAAUGAGUGUACAUCAUGGUACAGUGUAAGAACUGUACCAUGGAGAGACAACUAUACAUGCAGACGGCCUACAGUUGGUAUCCUGCAG